UACAGAGGUCUCAAGCGUUGUUCGGAUUCAUUGGGCGUAAAGGGUGCGUAGGCGGCGCGGUAAGUCGGGUGUGAAAUCUCGGAGCUUAACUCCGAAACUGCAUUCGAUACUGCCGUGCUUGAGUACUGGAGAGGAGACUGGAAUUUACGGUGUAGCGGUGAAAUGCGUAGAUAUCGUAAGGAAGACCAGUGGCGAAGGCAGGUCUCUGGACAGUUACUGACGCUGAGGCACGAAGGCCAGGGGAGCAAACGGG
rnacentral:rRNA from 1 species